CCUAUCUCAAAAUUAAGCCCUGUACCUUUGCUCCUAAGCAUGAAGAUGGGCUUCUGACCAAGUCCUGCUAGAGGACACUGAAAGGGCAAGCCUUGGGCUUUAACCAGGCAAUGGUGAGAAAACUGUGGCUUGGAGAGAUGAAGUAGCUUGAACAAAAUCACAGAGCUGCUGCUGCUGAUGGGACAGGAUUUGGGAUGAGGAAAAUUUAAAUUGGGCUCCAGAGAAGAGACAUUGAGACUGAUACUUCCAGCACUGAGGAUCUACCUCUAGGUUGGUGAGGGCAGCUUCUUGGGCAGUGAGAAGUGGGGUGGGCAGUGAGGAGCAUUCCCAGAAGUGAGGACCACUCUAGGGCUGUGAGGACAAUCCUAGGGCAGUGAGAACCCUCUGAGGCAGUGAGGAC
rnacentral:lncRNA from 1 species